CUCUGUCUCUCCUGCCACCAUGUGAAGAAGGUGCUUGUUUCCCCUUUGCCUUCCGCCAUGAGUGUAAGUUUCCUGAGGUCUCCCAGUCAUACUGCUGGUUAAGCCUGCAGAACGGAUAUGGGACUUCCUUGUGGACAUAAAAUGGCUGCUGCAGCUCCAGGCCACACAUGCACCUUCCAGGUAGAAAGAACUCACUAGGAAAGGCAAGAAGAAAACUG
rnacentral:lncRNA from 10 species